rnacentral:rRNA from 1 species
UACGGAGGGGGCAAGCGUUGUCCGGACUUACUGGGCGUAAAGGGUGCGUAGGCGGUUGCAUGCGUCCGCGCUGAAAUCCCGAGGCUCAACCUCGGGGCGCGUGCGGAUACGAUGCGACUUGAGGCUCGGAGAGGGUGGGAGAACUCCUGGUGUAGUGGUGAAAUGCGUAGAGAUCGGAAGGAACAUCAGUGGCGAAGGCGGCCACCUGGACUGACACUGACGCUGAGGCGCGAGAGCGUGGGGAGCAAACAGG